GAUAAACGCUGGCGGCGUGCCUAACACAUGCAAGUCGAACGUCCGUGCGGUAACGCACGGGAGUGGCGGACGGGUGAGUAACACGUGGGUGACCUAUCCCCAAGUGAGGAAUACCGGCGAGAAAUCGCCGACAACUCCGCAUACCCUCGAGGUAACUCGAGGAAAGUCUCGCAAGAGAUGCUUAGGGAGGGGCCUGCGCCCGAUUAGUUAGUUGGUGGGGUAAUGGCCUACCAAGGCUGCGACGGUAGCUGGUCUGAGAGGACGAUCAGCCACACUGGGAUUGAGAACGGCCCAGACUCCUACGGGGGGCGA
rnacentral:rRNA from 1 species